AGGACGAACGCUGGCGGCGUGCCUAAUACAUGCAAGUAGAACGCUGAAGGAGGAGCUUGCUUCUCCAGAUGAGUUGCGAACGGGUGAGUAACGCGUAGGUAACCUGCCUGGUAGCGGGGGAUAACGUAUUGGAAACGAUAGCUAAUACCGCAUAAGAGUAGAUGUUGCAUGACAUUUGACUUAAAAGGUGCAAUCGCAUCACUACCAGAUGGACCUGCGUUGUAUUAGCUAGGUUGGUGGGGUAACGGCUCACCAAGGCGACGAUACAUAGCCGACCUGAGACGGGUGAUCCGGACCACGACGUGGGACUGAAGACACGGCCCAGACUCGACGGAGCAGCAGUAGGAAUCGU
rnacentral:rRNA from 1 species